GGCCGGAUGGAUUAGUUGGUCAUAUCGUUUGCUUAACACGCACAAGGUCCUGGGUUCGAGCCCCAGUCUGGUCA